GGGAGGUCAUAAUGGCAGUCGAACGGGGUACCCCACAGGAGUUUUCGGACAACUGCGGGGAAUACCUAGUGGCGGACGGGUGAGUAACGCGUGAGUAACCUGCCUUGUAGUGGGGAAUAACAGCUGGAAACAGCUGCUAAUACCGCAUAAUGCAGUUGAGUCGCAUGGCUCUGACUGCCAAAGAUUUAUCGCUCUGAUAUGGACUCGCGUCUGAUUAGCUAGUUGGUGGGGCAACGGCCCACCGAGGCGACGAUCAGUAGCCGGACUGAGAGGUUGGCCGGCCACAUUGGGACUGAGACACGGCCCAUACUCCUACGGGAGGCAGCAGUGGGGAAUAUUGGGCAAUGGGCGCUAGCCUGACCCAGCAACGCCGCGUGAAGGAAGAAGGCUUUCGGGUUGUAGACUUCUUUUCUCAGGGACGAGUCAUGUGACGGUACCUGAGGAAUAGGCCACGGCUAACUACGUGCCAGCAGCCGCGGUAAUACGUACGUGGCAAGCGUUAUCCGGAUUUACUGGGUGUAAAGGGCGUGUAGGCGGCAAAGCAAGUCAGAUGUGAAAACCACGGGCUCAACCUGUGGCCUGCAUUUGAAACUGUUUUUCUUGAGUACUGGACAGGCAGACGGAGUUCCUAGUGUAGCGGUGAAAUACGUAGAUAUUAGGAGGAACACCAGUGGCGAAGGCGGUCUGCUGGACAGCAACUGACGCUGAGGCGCGAAAGCGUGCGGAGCAAACAGGAUUAGAUACCCUGGU
rnacentral:rRNA from 1 species